rnacentral:siRNA from 1 species
UUAAAUGAACUCAGCCGUAACGC